ensembl:lncRNA
AUGUCCUCUCUGAGCAGCUCCAACAGCUUCCACUCACUCCCUCACCUGUUCCAGGACACUCACUCCCUCACCUGUCCCAGGACACUUGCUCUCCUGUGCUCUUCUCUCCUCUGUCUCUCUCAGGAGUUUGAUGUCCUCUCUGAGCAGCUCCACCAGCUUCCACUCGCUCCCUCACCUGUCCGAGAACACUUGCUCUCCUGUGCUCUUCUCUCCUCCGUCUCUCUCUGGAGUUUGAUGUCCUCUCUGUGCAGCUCCACCAGCUUCCACUUGCUCCCUCACCUGUCCCAGGACACUUGCUCUCCUGUGCUCUUCUCUCCUCUAUCUCUCUCUGGAGUUUGAUGUCCUCUCUGAGCAGCUCCACAGGCUUCCAGUCUCUCUCUCACCUGUCCCAGUACACUUGGUCUCCUGUGCCCUUCUCUCCUCUGAUAGAUUAGUUCUAGGUGUUCCCCAUUUAGUUAAUUUUGUUCCAGCCGUGUCCCAUCAGUUUCUGUCUUUAAAUAGUGUUCUCAGUUCUUAGUUCUCGGUCCGCUGUCUUAUGUCAUUGAAUGUCAGUUAUCUGUUUGUAGCUCUUUGUGCAUUUAAUUAAAUAUUCUACUACCACAUUCUCCUGUAUCACCUGAUUCCUUCUCCAAGUGUAGUGUGACAGAACAGUGGACCCUCAACGACAAAGAUGACAGCGGCUGAGGACAUCUGUGGAGAUUGCGGCAGAGUGGUCGGACAUUGGAGGGGUAUGUGGAGGAAUUCCUCAAGCUUUCCAAACGGGUGAGCAGGCAUGACUCUGCUCUUGGGGCCUGCUUUCUGUUGGGGCUGGAUGAUGAGACUAUCCGCUGCGAUCUGCCAGCGUGUUAAUUUUCCCUGAUCGAGCUGAUUGAUCUCGUCCUGGAUUUAACCCUCUGGAGUCGGCUAACGUGGAUACGCGUUUUGAGGCAAAUUCUCCUGAUAAGACCGAAAAGAACAUCAAACGAAUCUGUAAAGGGUCUACUUUUAUUUGUAUACACAUAUGAUAACAACAAAACUUUGUGCAAAUAUAAAAUAAAGAAAACAAACAGAGAGCGCUGUCUGCA